CCGGGACCGAUAACCUGGUUGAUCCUGCCAGUAAUCAUAUGCUUGUUUCAAAGAUUAAGCCAUGCAUGUCUCAGUAUAAGUUUCUAUACGGCGAAACUGCGAAUGGCUCAUUAACUAAUUAUAGUUUAUUUGGUGGUCAACUCUUACAUGGAUAACCGUUGUAAUUCUACAGCUAAUACAUGCGCCCAAGCCCAACUUCUUGGAAGGGUUGUGUUUAUUAGAUACAGAACCAACCCAGGCUCCGCCUGCCUUGAGGUGAUUCACAAUAACCGAACGAAUCGCAUAGCUGCCGCUGGCAAUAAACCAUUCAAGUUUCUGACCUAUCAGCUAUCGUCGGUAGGGUAUUGGCUUACCGUGGCAAUGACGAGGAACGGAGAAUUAGGGUUCGAUUCCGGAGAGGGAGCCUGAGAAACGGCUACCACAUUUAAGGAAGGCAGCAGGCGCGCAAAUUACAAAAUCCUGACGCAGGGAGGUAGUGACAAGAAAUAACAAUACAUGGCAUAUCUGUCUUGUAAUUGGAACGAAUAAACUUUAAAUCACUUUACGAAUAUCAAUUGAAGAACAAGUCUGGAGCCAGCAGCCGCGAAAUUCCAGUUCCAAUAGCGGAUAUCAAAGUUGUUGCGGUUAAACAGCUCGUAGUUG
rnacentral:rRNA from 1 species